CAAUAGCGUAUAUUAAAGUUGUUGCGGUUAAAAAGCUCGUAGUUGGAUUUCUGCCGAGGACGACCGGUCCGCCCUCUGGGCGUGCAUCUGGCUUGGCCUGGGCAUCCUCUUGGAGAACGUGUCUGCACUUGACUGUGUGGUACGGUAUCCAGGACUUUUACUUUGAGGAAAUUAGAGUGUUUCAAGCAGGCGUUCGCCUUGAAUACAUUAGCAUGGAAUAAUAAUAUAGGACCUUUGUUCUAUUUUGUUGGUUUCUAGAGCGAAGGUAAUGAUUAAUAGGGAUAAUUGGGGGCAUUCGUAUUAACGCGUCAGAGGUGGAAUUCUUGGAUUGCGUUACGACGAACUACUGCGAAAGCAUUUGCCAAGGAUGUUUUCAUUGAUCAAGAACGAAAGUUAGGGGAUCGAAGACGAUCAGAUACCAU
rnacentral:rRNA from 1 species